rnacentral:pre_miRNA from 1 species
CAUCCGGAUCAGGGGUUUCUUUCGGCCUCCAGCGGAAUACGAUUGCUGUAGGCCGGCGGAAACUACUUGCUUCUGGUG